rnacentral:lncRNA from 1 species
AUGCAGUCUCAUUCCCAUACUUUCAUUUUACGAGAUGAGAAUACUUCAAGGACAUUGGUUAAAUAUUUGAAACUGAGACAGGUUGGGUGGUACAGCCUAAUCAAAGGGAAUACUGGGCAGUACCGGACAGAGCAGCAGUCACAUCACAGAGAUGGCUUCACGUGUGAGGUCACUUCCUGCGAGGUCCUCUCGGUGCUACAGGACUUGUAUGAUACUAAACCUGAGAGUUUGGCUCAGGAGUCACGACUGGACCCAGGAAAGUUACAAAGAUUACAAGGGAUUUGGACUUGUUUGAUGAUUCUUCAUGAUAAGACCCAGGAUUCCAUAAUUGACCACCUCUUCUACAGGAUAAACUUAUUCAUUAUUCUGAAAUUGUGUGCAAAUAGCUUCAGCCUACACAAAUACCUCACUUACAAUGUGUUAGAACCUUGUUGGAAAAGCAGAGGUAUAUAUCAGAAAAUAUAUUUUCUUUUCCUCCUUGGUUGCAUGACUUUCGAGAGUCAUCAUAAAUGA